UAGGGAAUCUUCCACAAUGGACGCAAGUCUGAUGGAGCAACGCCGCGUGAGUGAAGAAGGCUUUCGGGUCGUAAAACUCUGUUAUUGAAGAAGAACGUGUGUGACAGUAACUGGUCAUGCAGUGACGGUAUUCAAUCAGAAAGUCACGGCUAACUACGUGCCAGCAGCCGCGGUAAUACGUAGGUGGCAAGCGUUGUCCGGAUUUAUUGGGCGUAAAGCGAGUGCAGGCGGUCUUUUAAGUCUGAUGUGAAAGCCUUCGGCUUAACCGAAGAAGGGCAUCGGAAACUGGGAGACUUGAGUGCAGAAGAGGAGAGUGGAACUCCAUGUGUAGCGGUGAAAUGCGUAGAUAUAUGGAAGAACACCAGUGGCGAAGGCGGCUCUCUGGUCUGUAACUGACGCUGAGGCUCGAAAGCGUGGGUAGCAAACAGGAUUAGAUACCCUGGUAGUCCGCGCCGUAAACGAUGAAUACUAAGUGUUGGAGGGUUUCCGCCCCUCAGUGCUGCAGCUAACGCAUUAAGUAUUCCGCCUGGGGAGUACGACCGCAAGGUUGAAAC
rnacentral:rRNA from 1 species